rnacentral:sRNA from 1 species
UCCGUAGGUGAACCUGCGGAGGGAUCAUUACCGAUUGCAAAAUCUCUAAACCAUCGCGAACGUUACCCCACGCCGUUGCCUCGGCGGGGAGCCUCUCCGGGGGCCGCCCGCCGGUGGUACCACAAACUCUUUUUAUUUACAGGCCUCUCUGAGUAUUUAUACAAAUAAGUUAAAACUUUCAACAACGGAUCUCUUGGUUCUGGCAUUGAUGAAGAGCGCAGCGAAAUGCGAUAAGUAAUGUGAAUUGCAGAAUUCAGUGAAUCAUCGAAUCUUUGAACGCACAUUGCGCCCGCCAGUAUUCUGGCGGGCAUGCCUGUUCGAGCGUCAUUUCAACCAUCAAGCCCUAGGCUUGUGUUGGGGCCCUGCGGCUGCCGCAGGCCCUGAAAAACAGUGGCGGGCUCGCUGUCACACCGAGCGUAGUAAAACAUCUCGCUUUGGACGUGCGGCGGGUUCUUGCCGUUAAACACCCCCCUUCUCAAGGUUGACCUCGGAUCAGGUAGGAAUACCCGCUGAACUUAAGCAUAUCAAUAAGCGGAGGAAAAGAAACCAACAGGGAUUGCCCUAGUAACGGCGAGUGAAGCGGCAACAGCUCAAAUUUGAAAUCUGGCCUCGGCCCGAGUUGUAAUUUGUAGAGGAAGCUUUUGGCGCGGCACCUACUGAGUCCCCUGGAACGGGGCGCCAUAGAGGGUGAGAGUCCCGUAUAGUAGGACGCCUAGCCUGUGUAAAGCUCCUUCGACGAGUCGAGUAGUUUGGGAAUGCUGCUCUAAAUGGGAGGUAAAUUUCUUCUAAAGCUAAAUAUUGGCCAGAGACCGAUAGCGCACAAGUAGAGUGAUCGAAAGAUGAAAAGCACUUUGAAAAGAGGGUUAAACAGCACGUGAAAUUGUUGAAAGGGAAACGCUUGAAGU